GUCUUCGUUGCUGCGCAGGCUUUCGCUAGUUGUGAUUCCUUACAAGAGAAGCACAAAUAUCCUUCUUUAAAAGGACCCAAUCCAGGAUCCUACAUUGCAUCUUGUCAUCGUGUCUCCUUAAAUCUCCUCCAGCCUGUGACAGUUCCUCAGUCUUUCCUUGUCCUCAUGACCUGGAAACUUUUGGAGAGUACUAAAAUUGUGAAGAGUACAGUUCUUUUGUAGAACGUCCCUUGGUUUGGAUAUGCCUGAUAUUUUUCUCAUGAUUAGAUUGAAGGAUCUUAGCUCCCUGACCAGAGACUGAACCUGGGCCCCAGCAGUGAAAGCACCGAGUCCUAACCACUGGACCGCCAGGGAAUUCCGACACCUGUGUCUUUGUUCUAUUGUUUCGUUCAUCUUUAUCACUAGUGGCGAGGUUGUAGUAAGUGCUUAAUAAAUACCUAACACAGUGACUGGACCAUAAUAAAUUCUCAAUAAUUGUUCACAAAAUAUUAUUAGAAAGGU